GGCCUCCUUAAAGCCCAGCAGGUGGCCAUCACCAAAGAUGCUAGUGGGUACACCUUCUGGUAUAAUUCAUCAUGUACCCAUGUGGCUACAUUCACUUUUGAUUACUGUGAUAUUGUAGAGUGCCCAUUCCCUAAGUCACAGAUUCAAGCCAUUUAUAAAGAUAUACCACAAGCAAAAGACCCUUACGUUUGUGUAGUAGAUGAACAAUGGGGUUGUGACUGUAACUACUGGGGGGCUGCGGGAUGGAAUACUGGGCCUGCCUGGGGUUAUAAACCCAAAAGUGCUUUAUCCAAGAUAGACAAUCAGGGUAGAUCCCUCCUUCAAAGAAUGACUUUAAGAAAGCCUGGAGGAAGUACCCCUAUGAAAUUAAUGUUAAAUAUUGAACAUCCUGGCCCCGAGGAUGCAGACCGAUAUGUAAUGGGAAUGUAUUGGAAGAAAGGUUCCUACAACAAAUCAGGUCAUUUCUACCUCAGAGAUAUGUCCCACUCUCCAGAGUGGCAAGGGGCUGAUCAUAUGGUCCCAAAUCCGCUAAAACCACAUAUCCAGUCCUUUAAAGAUAUGAUGGCCAUCGCUAACCCCACUUUUGAAGAUAUCAUGGCCGCUGAAACUGGAUUCAAUGACAUUAAUUUGUGGUUAGAAUGGAUGAGGUAUAAUGCUAACAAACAUAAUAAAACAGCAUGUUAUGUAUGUGGCGGUGCCCGACCCCACCUUGGCACCGUCCCCCUAAUUCUCCCUUUAGAGAUAGAAGAUUGCUUCUUAAGCCUUUUUGCCUACCAAUAUGACUUUAAUAGGUCCCUCUACAUGGCAUGGACGGCAGAAUACCCUCUCUUAGUUGAAAAUGUUAAGCCACCAGAUGGAGUCACAGUCUAUAGAGGUAAUUACACUUGUUAUGCCAUGUAUGACGGGAUUGGUAAAUUCAUGGGUAACUUUUCUAAAG